rnacentral:rRNA from 1 species
CCUCAGCUGUAGAAAAACCGUACCGCAAACCGACACUGGUAGGCAGGGUGAGAAUCCCAAGGCGCUUGAGAGAACUCGGGUGAAGGAACUAGGCAAAAUGGCACCGUAACUUCGGGAGAAGGUGCGCCCUUUGGUGUGGUCACGUGCGUGACUGAGCAUCGAAGGGUCGCAGUAACCUGGCCGCUGCGACUGUUUAUCAAAAACACAGCACUCUGCAAACACGAAAGUGGACGUAUAGGGUGUGACGCCUGCCCGGUGCUGGAAGGUUAAUUGAUGGGGUCAGCCGCAAGGCGAAGCUCUUGAUCGAAGCCCCAGUAAACGGCGGCCGUAACAAUAACGGUCCUAAGGUAGCGAAAUUCCUUGUCGGGUAAGUUCCGACCUGCACGAAAGGCGUAACGACAGCGGCGCUGUCUCCACCCGAGACUCAGUGAAAUUGAAAUCGCUGUGAAGAUGCAGCGUUCCCGCGGCAAGACGGAAAGACCCCGUGAACCUUUACUAUAGCUUUACAUUGAACGUUGAGUUCUUCUGUGUAGGAUAGGUGGGAGGCUAUGAAACCGAGACGCUAGUUUCGGUGGAGCCAUCCUUGAAAUACCACCCUGAAGUGCUUGACGUUCUAACCUAGGUCCGUAAUCCGGAUCGGGGACCAUGUAUGGUGGGUAGUUUGACUGGGGCGGUCUCCUCCCAAAGAGUAACGGAGGAGCACGAAGGUACGCUCAUCGCGGUCGGACAUCGCGCACUGUGUGCAAAGGCAUAAGCGUGCUUGACUGCGAGAUCGACGGAUCAAGCAGGUACGAAAGUAGGUCUUAGUGAUCCGGUGGUUCUGUAUGGAAGGGCCAUCGCUCAACGGAUAAAAGGUACUCCGGGGAUAACAGGCUGAUACCGCCCAAGAGUUCAUAUCGACGGCGGUGUUUGGCACCUCGAUGUCGGCUCAUCACAUCCUGGGGCUGUAGCCGGUCCCAAGGGUAUGGCUGUUCGCCAUUUAAAGUGGUACGCGAGCUGGGUUCAGAACGUCGUGAGACAGUUCGGUCCCUAUCUGUCGUGGGCGUUGGAGAUUUGAGGGGGGCUGCUCCUAGUACGAGAGGACCGGAGUGGACGUUCCGCUGGUGUUCGGGUUGUCAUGCCCAUGGCAUUGCCCGGUAGCUACGAACGGAAGUGAUAACCGCUGAAAGCAUCUAAGCGGGAAGCACGCCCCAAGAUGAGAUCUCCCGAGAGCUAGACUCUCCUUAAGGCACCAUCAAGACUAGGUGGUUGAUAGGCGCGGUGUGGAAGUGCAGCAAUGCAUUGAGCUUACGCGUACUAAUGAGCCGUGAGGCUUGACC